rnacentral:rRNA from 1 species
CCCUUUGAUACUCUGGGCGGCACGCGCGCUACACUGGUUUAUAUAACGUGUAAUUUGGACGAUAGUCUGUAUAAAUCACUAAUAUAAAACCGUGAAUGGGAUAGUUUAUUGCAACUUACAAACUUUAAUUAGGAAUCCCUUGUAGAAGUAGUGAAUUAUACUGCUUCGAAUACGUCCCUGCCGAUUGUACACACCGCCCGUCGUUUCUUCCGACUGGUACUCGUUGUGAAUUGCGAGGAGAUGCUGUCAAAUCGUUGUAAAUGCUGGGUAUUGGAGGAAGAAAAAGUCGUAACA